AACGAACGCUGGCGGCAGGCCUAACACAUGCAAGUCGAACGGGUGUAGCAAUACAUCAGUGGCGCACGGGAGAGUAACGCGUGGGAACCUACCUUUUGGUUCGGAAUAACGUCGGGAAACUGACGCUAAUACCGGAUAAGCCCUACGGGGGAAAGAUUUAUCGCCGAAAGAUGGGCCCGCGUUAGAUUAGCUUGUUGGUGAGGUAACGGCUCACCAAGGCUACGAUCUAUAGCUGGUCUAAGAGGAUGAUCAGCCUCACUGGGACUGAGACACGGCCCAGAUUCCUACGGGAGGCAGCCGUGGGGAAUAUUGGACAAUGGACGCAAGCCUGAUCCAGCCAUGCCGCGUGAGUGAUGAAGGCCUUCGGGUUGUAAAGCUCUGUCGCACACGACGAUGAUGACGGUAGUGUGAGAAGAAGCCCCGGCUAACUUCGUGCCAGCAGCCGCGGUAA
rnacentral:rRNA from 1 species